CAAUAACUGCAAAAUUCGCAGAAAAAGUUAAGACCGCUUUUGCUGGUCUUAGCUUUCAACCAGCUGUAGCCUAAAUCAGGCUACCCGUCUUUAGUAGCCGGCCCGGCGACGGCUAAAGACGAAAUAAUCCGGGAUGCAGGGGCCGUAUGUCUGUGACGGCGCUCAAGACUUAUCAGGCUAGACUGGAAAGAAUUUGUCUAAUUUAUCUUCUAGUUUAAAACUCAAAUUAGACUAAGCUUGCUAAAAGUUUUUAGGUUUUUACUUUUGGACGCGGGUUCGACUCCCGCCAGCUCCACCA
rnacentral:tmRNA from 1 species